UGCCGUAAGAAUAGCGAAGAGGCCACACCUGUUCCCAUCUCGAACACAGUAGUUAAGCUCUUCAGCGCCGAUGGUACUUGGACCGCAGGGUCCUGGGAGAGUAGGACAUUGCGGCAU
rnacentral:rRNA from 1 species